CGCCUCCUAAGGCGGGCUCGGGGUGAGCGCUGCGCGUCCUCGCCCUCCCCGCUUCCAGCGUCCAGCGUGCGAGGGGUUCUGGACACUUUUGGAAGUUCAGGAGUUUAGGGAUCUGCCCCCGCCCCAGUUUGACUGAUGGGGAAAUCGAGGCCCGGAGAGGCUGGGGUCAUUUGCACUGAGGGCUGAGCCGGGCAGAGGCUCACAGCGGAUCCCAAACUCAGUCUGUCUCCGAAGCGUGAGUCUUUCCGUUCUUCUAGGACGCCCUACUUUGCUUUUUAAAGAAACAAUUCUGUGACCCACAUCUCGUUGGCGACAUUUUCAGCAGGAAGACCAGGUAACAUUCAUAUCCCCCCGGACCGCCUCAUCAGUAGAACGGUUUUCUAACAGCGAAGGACAAGGAGACCUUUUGGGGGGAGACCUUAGGCUAUCCCACACACACACUGAGUCAUCCCGGGUGUCGGGGUUGUCUUUUCCAGAUUCACUAGCCUUUCCACACCCACUCCAUCCCUGCCCCAUGCAUUAAAGUGUCAUCCAGCACCCACAUGUCGCUCUGGUGCUUUGGAGGCCAGACACCUGCAGCAGAGCCGCUGAUGCAAACCUCGAGGUUCUGCUGGGUUUUCUAGAACACAGGCACUCUGGGAUCCUCUGGACUUAGUACAGGGUUAACAUAACCAUCACUGUACAUCAUAAGGAAGGUAGCAAGUUCCUACAGAACGAACAUUCAUUUACCCAGGGCACAGAUUCACAUACAGUAGGAAUUUCCCUGUGAAUGAAUGAACCAAAAGGUUGAAGGCCCUGGGCCAGGGCGAUCAGGUCUGUCGAUUUGGAAGGGGCCUCUGGGCUGGUGGUGCAAUGAAUUAAGUCUCCUGAGCCUUGCUUGACUCAUCUGUGCAUUAUAGAAGGUGAUACAAAGUAUAUCUUCAAGAGCCAGCUAAGCAUAGUAGAGCACAUGCCUAGCAUGGACAUGGUCCUGGGGUCCACCCUCCAUCCUGAAGGACUCAAAAAAAAAAGCUGGAGAGAUGGCUCAGAGGUAAAGAGCACUAGCUACUCUCCCAGAGGUUCUGAGUUCAAUUCCCACCAACCACAUGGGACUCACAACCAUCUAUAGUGAGAUCUGGUGCCCUCCUCUGGCAUGCAGGUGUACAUUCAGACAGAAUACUGUAUACAUAAUAAAUAAAUCUUUUUUUUUAAAGGACUAAAGAUUGAGACUAAAUGUCAGAGCAUGGAAAGGUGACCAUUGUGGAUGGUGGCUUUUGUUAUUAUAAAACAUCAUUCUCUCUCAUGCAUGGAUAAGCACAAGGGGAUAUUGGGUCAAGAAAAAGAUUUUGGAAAUAGAGCCUGGAGAGAUGGCUCAGCAGGUAAGAGCACUGGCUGCUCUCCAGAGGACCCAGGUUCAAUUCCCAGAACCCGCAUGGCAGCUUACAAAUGUAUGUAACUUCAACUAUAGAUCUUUGUGAGUUUGAGGCCAUCCUGGUCUACAUAGCAAAUUCCAGGCAAGUCAGGGCUGCACAGUAAGACCUUGUCUCAAAAAAUUUUUUUUUCAAUGAACAAACAUUUUUCCUGACUGGCCCGUGAGCGCCAACACUCUUGGUUCUGAUGUAUACAGUACCUGCUUCUGAAGCAGAUGAAAAUGCAGAAACCAAAUUUGCAGUACCUGUCCUCCUGAAGGUCAGGGUCAAAGGGCAGAGAGAUAGAUAGGAGCACAGGCCAGUGUUAUAAAAAAAGCUUUAGGGGGUUCUGCAGAAGUCCAGAGAGCAAUGUCAGUACAGUGUGGGUAAGUACAGGGGUUAGAGGGGUUAGACAUGAGCCAGACAUCUCCCUGGGCUGAGGUUGCUCAGGGAGGACUCCAUAACUACUCAAGUGUGCUUUGGCUUGUUCUAGAUCAGUCCUGGAGAUGAACCCUGCUACCAGACAGCUAGGUGACAUCAUCAAGGCCCUCAGGUUUCUACACCUUUAAGUAAUUUGGUAGGCAUACCUGUAAUCCAAACACCCAGGAAGUGAUGGCCGGAGGGUCAGAGAGUCAGGGUUAUCCUUGGCCACAUACUGAGUCUAAGACCGGCCUGAGCUACAUAAGACCCCGCCUCAAAACAAUGAUAAAAUGUUGACGUCAUCACAACUUGAAGUUGGCUCCACCGAAGAGGGAGAGGUGAGCAGGUCAGGUGGAUUAUCUUCAAAGAGGGUUACACCUGUGGCGGAAGGGUCCAGUGCCAGGCGAAGGUGUAGCUCCAGCCUGGACCUUGCCCAGCCUAAAUAGGCCACGGCCCCGAUCUUGGUUGGCCCUGAUCUUAACAACAAUGAGAAGUUCCUACCAAGACCGGACUGGUGUCUGGAAAGGAGCAGCCUUGGCUGUUCUGUGAGGACUGCAUAGGUGGGCUGAGCCCUAAAGGGGAACAGUCCCUGGGAGUCGGAACUGAGUGACAUCACACUUUACCUGUGGUUGGCGUUCACGUGCACCAGUUUCUCUAGUCCUCAACACGGAUCUGCAAGCAGAAGAAACACCAUCGCCGCAAAGACAUCCAUCCAGAAAAUAAAACCUUUAGAUUUGUAUGCAAGAUAAGGUCUUGCUAUGGAGCCUCAUUGAGCAUAUGUGCGUGUUGGGGGUGGUGAGCGGUCAGUUGUGUUCAGUUGCAAAUGAGGGUGUGUUCAUGUGUGUGGAGAGGCCAGAGGUCAGUGUCAAGAAAUCUUCAGCUCUUCUCUACUUUUUAUUUUGAGACAGGAGUUCUCACUGAACCCAAAUCUUUGCCAUUCAACUUGAUUAGCUGUCCAGCAAGCCCCCAGGAUCCUCCUGUCUCUUCCUCCCUAGCUCUGGGAUUACAAGUGCGUCUCACUGCGCCACCUCUUACAUGGAUACUGGGGAUCCAAACUCAGGUUCUCCAUGUGUCUUCUUCAUGUGGACCAUCUCUUCAGCUCCAGCCUCAAACUCUUGCUCUUCCCGCCUCAGCCUCCCCAGGGCUGGAAGUACUGCUCUGAGUGGUACGAGUAGAUUCUGAACUAUCCACAGGUCAUUCAGGACCAGGAAGGACAAGGAGACACUGCAAUCUAACUCUGAAGAGACCAAUGACUUGGUAAGGAACAACCAGAAGACUGGCUAUCUGAGAGGCCUGAGGAGAAACGGAGGCCAUAGUCACAAAGGGAGGCAUGGUUUCCAAGGGAUAGGACAGUGUGGUCACAAAGGCAAGUGCCCCUUUGAGCUGGACAUUGCCCUCCGCGUUUUGGCUGUCUGUGGCUAGCUGAUUGGGAGAGAAAUGGGGGCAGAAGCCUGGGGGCUGGAGAGAGAAUGCGACAUCAAAGGGAAGUGGAGAUUCUGUUGGGAAAGUGAAAGAACAAGAUGAAAGCACAGACUGAGGGGGACAAAAGCCAACUGUGUGUGCUGUGCCCAGCUGAUUUGGGCUUGGGCUUGGUGCCACCUGUUCCAGCCCACUGUGGGGAGGGGUAAAUGAGCCAGUUUGGGGAGGGAAGCUGAAGAAUGAGGGAAGAAGCUAGAAUGAGGGUACAGAGCUCAGAUGAGAGUGAAAGAACAGCCAGGUACGCCUUCCCAGAAAAGCAGCCCUGCUCCCUUGGAGCGCAGAAGCCUGUGGUCUGCGUGACUGCUCCUUUACUUUGCACAGUAGGUUGUCUUAUGAAAUUGAGCCUCUUGGUAAAUGCCUGUUGACCUAAAACAGCGGGAAGUUGAGAAAUUGCUGCUGAGUGGGAAGACAGAACGUUUGAGUCCAGCCUGCUUCCCCAAGCCCUCCCGGGGAAUAACCCAGGCUGGUGGAACGAGGGAGGAAGGGGCUAUAAUCAGAGCAGUGACGCUCCAGAGAACAAGCCAACCUAGGACCCAGAUGUCACCGUCACAGAGCCAUCCUUCAACACCAGUCACUGUUGGCGUCCCUGCUUAGAUGGAAAGACAGAGUUUCUCUGUGUAACAGCUCUUGCUGUCCUGGAGCUCCCUUUGUAGACCAGGCUGACCUUGAACUCACUGAGAUCCCCCUACCUCUGACUCUCAAAUGCGGAAAUCAGAGACAUACGCCAGAGCGCCCGAUGACAGAUGGCUUUCUCAUCCCUUCUCCAUCCCCUGUCCUUGCUGUAAGUUGUGAGACAACUGAGUAUUUGUGCAUAUAUGUUAUGUGAGGCCCUAGGUUCAGCUCCCGCUACGGAGAAAAGAAAAGAGAAGGGACCACACAGGGACAAUGUCAGCAAGGUGGUUUGUUAGGUAAAAACUCUGACUGCACACAAACCUGAGUUUGAUCCCUGAACACAUAAAAAAGCUGGCAUGCAUCUGUACUCACAGCAUCUUAUGAGGGAGCAAACAUGGCAGAAACAAGAGCCCCUGUUUCAACAAGGUGGAAGGGGACAGCCGAUUCCGAAAACUGUCUGCUGACUUCUACACAAACCCACACACACACACACAUAAAUAAGCUUAAAAUUUUUUCAAACAGGACCUUACUGUGCAGCCCCGCCUGCCUUGAACUCAUUAUGUGGACUUGGCUGGCUUAGAACUCACAGAGAUCCGCAUCCCUCGGCCUCCCUGGGAUUACAGGCAAGUGCCACUGUCUAGCGUGAUGUGACCCAGGCCCGGGUUUAAUCAUCUAGAGUGGUGGCCCACACCUGUAAUCUCAAAACUUGCAAAGAAUCAAUGGUUUUAAGGCUAGCCUGGUCAUCCAGAGUUACCCUUCAUGUAAGGAGUGAGCUCAAACUCUUCCCUAAUAUCUGUGCGACAGCUAUGGAGCAGCCCCCCGGACCAUCGGUUCUUCUAUCUUGGGAAUAUGGUGACAAAUUCAGCUCUGCUGAUUGCUUCGGUUUCUCCAAAGUCACAUACUGACAGGACUGCUGGGGUUCACGAGCCCAGCUUCUUAGGCUUCUCAGGCUGGGUUUGCCACAGGCCCCCUCCAGAACCAGGUGCUGGAGCCUGGUGUCUUCCUACCUUUCCAUCCCUCUCUUCCUCUGAUGGCCUCGGUCUCCUCCCCACGACAGGGGUCUAUCUCCUGGUCAGAUAGGGUAUCACGAUAGGGUAGCAGGGAUUUCCUAAGGCUGUCCCGGCGGCUUUGGCUCGGCACUGUGGUAAGAAAACCUACUUUAAAGAGGAGAGUAUGUACAAUAGAAUGGAAAGAAGAGCCCCUGGGUGUGUGGUUCGUGUUACACUUUGCACAAGGGCCUCACACUCAAGCCAGCCCUUUUACGGCUUUGACAGUGUGGACUUAUAUGUCCGUUAGGGUAUCUAUUUAGAAGGACCUGAUCUAAAUUUAAUUAGCCAACCAGAGGUGGCACACACUAUUAAUCCUGGCACUCUGGACACAGAGGCGGCAGAGGUCUGAGUCUCGAGGCCAGCCUAGUCUUCAGAGUGAGUUCCAGGACAGCCAGGACUACACAGAAAAACCCUGUCUCAGAAAAAAAAUGUUUAAAAAAAAAAAAAACAAAUAAUAGAAGGAAGAAAGAAACACAGGAAGAUGGAGAGAGAGGAAGGACACGGACUGGAGGGACUGGACGUUGGGACUGAGGUAAAGCUUAUUGCAGAGGAUGGACAAACUACGAGAAACCCAAAAUGUGAUGCAGAUGUGAUCAGCUGUGGGGGUUUUCCCAUGUCCCUUGGCCUUUCCUUAUGCCCUAGUUUCAUUUCUGAUGCUGUGAUAAAACACCGUGAUAAAAAGCAACCUAGAAGUUGCUGGCUUCUUUCUUGUUUUUCAAAACAGGUUUUCUCUGUGUAGUCCUGGCUCUCUUGGAACUCAGUCUGUAGACUAGGCUGGCCUUGAAUUCAGAGAUUCGCCUGCAUCUGCCUGAGUGCUGGGAUUCAAGGCAUACACCACUGUACCUAGUUUCUUUCUUUUUUUCUUUUAACGUUAGUGUCAACUUUAAAUUUGAAAAUCUAAGCUGCAUUCCAUUUUGGUCAAGGGAGGCAGUAAAAUGAUACAUAUCAAAAGAUGAAUAAUCCAGAUUGGUCACUGCAGUAAAUGUAACUGAAAUACACUUAAAGGUGUCAGAGAAGUGGCUCAGUGGUUAGGAGCGCUGACUGCUCUUCUAGAGGACAGGGGUUCGAUUCCCAGUACCAUCUGCACAACCGUCUGCAACUCCAGCUCCAGGGGAUUCAGCGCCGCCUGCUGGCAACUACAGGUACUGUAUGAAUGUGAUACAGUUCUGAGUGUCAAGUUACAAACGAACCGCUGACCCACCUCGCCAACCCAACGCAGUUUUUUUUUUUUCAAUUUCAAUUUUAUAUGUAGUAGGUUUCCUCCGCUGAUGAAAUGAGCCAAUUCAAGUGCAUAAAGGCAUAAAGGCAGGUUUAUUGGGUGCAGCUCUAGAGUGAGUUCACUGGUCCCAAGUAAAGAGGCCAGGGAAGUCGCCGUAGCUCCGGGAGGGAGACAGGCAGGGGAAGAGAAAGAGAGAAAGAGCAUGCGCAUACAGGGAGAGAGCAAACACAGAGAGAGGGAGGGUGUAUUGGUGUGAGGGUGUCAGAUCCUCUGGGAUUGGAGUUACAGACAACUGUGAGCUGCCAUGUGGGUGAUGGGAAUUGAACCCGGGUCCUCUGGAAGAGCAGCCAGUGCUCUUAACCGCUGAGCCACCUCUCCAGCCAGGUUUUUCUAUGUUUAUCCAUCGCAUGUGUGUACAGCUUGUGGUUAAAGAACAACUUGGAGGAGUCAGUUCUCUACAUCCGGCAUUUGCGUACCGGGGAUGGAGCUCAGGCCGUCUGGCUUGGCAGUCACUGAACACUCUGGCUAUGUGUUCAAGUCCCACGUAGCACACUGAAGAGAGAAGAGAGAGGCUGCAGGGGCAGGGCCUGAGGCUUCACUGCCCACCAGAGGCAGUGCAGCACAGCCGGAAGGGACCCAGUUGGGUUAGUGCACUCUGUCUUGGAUGCCUGGAAAAUGGAAGGAACCUGCCCCUGUUGCUGGUUGGUUCCUUCUGGGGCAAUAGUUCUCAACCUUCCUAACUCUGGGACCCUUUAACACACUUCCUCAUGUUGUGGUGACCUCCAACCAUAAAGUUACUUUCGUGGCUACUUCCUAAUUGUACUUUUGCUAUUAUGAAUCAUAAUGCAAACAUUUGUAUUUUCCAAUGGUCUUAGGCAAUCCUUUCUGGUUGACCUCCACAAGGAGGUCAUGACCCACAGGUUGAGAACCACUGUCCUAGGGCUUCUUAACACCCACUUCCAACCCAGCUCUAAAUGGAAGGGGAUAGAUAUUUUGCAGUGACUAGAGACACAGUUGGUUGUCACACUUGGGGUAGGGUCUCUCACCGGCAUUUAACACUGCUAAUAACUUGCCACCUGUGUGACAGCUCCAUGGCAGAGACUGAACUUGGCCCAUAAUGACAGUAGUGCCAAGGUCAAGAACCUAUCCUCUGAAGAAGGCUGGGUUUAAUCAGGUAGCUCAGGCUAGCCUCAAACUUGCUCUGGAGCUGAAAAUGACCUUGAAUUCCUGUUCCUUCUGCUUCCAUCUCCUGACUGCUAGGAUUACAUGCAUGCACAUGUAAUCCUAUACAGGGAGAUCAAACCACCAUGCCAGACAUUUAUUUUGAGACAGUCAUUUUUUUUUUUUCUUUUAAGAUUGGUUUAUUUAAACAGCAUUCUGCCUGCAUGUGUGCCUGUGCACAGAAGAGGGCGCCAGAUCUCACUAUAGAUGGUUGUGAGCCACUAUGUGGUUGCUGCGAAUCGAACUCAGGACCUUUGGAAGCACAGCCAGUGCUCUUAACCUCUGAGCCAUCUCUCCAGCCCCAAGACAGUUAAUAUUUCAAUUAUGUUCAAGUUCCUAAUCCUGCAUGUUACGAAAGCACUCUACUGACUGCCUUAGUAAGACCCCUUUUCCUUUCCUUCCUUUCUCCCCACCCUUCCUCUUUUUCUUUCUUGCUUUCUUCUUAAAUUUACUUACCCUUUUAAGACUGUCACAGAGCCAGGCCCGCUUCAGCCCCCACUUCCUCAUCAACCCAGUUAGAAACCAGCCUCCACUGAACCUCCAGACAUGGGGCCCUUCCUUCUGGCCCUAACCUGCCAGCUGGUGUUGAGAAUCAAGUUCCAUUAUUAGAUAGUGCCUUAGUCGGGGUUACUAUUGCUGUGGUGAAGCAAUGUGACCUGCCAGCAAGUUGGGGAGGAAAGGGUUUAUUCUGCUUACUCUUUCAUAUUGCUUGGUCCAUCAUUGGAGACAAUCAGGACAGGAACUCACACAGAGCAGAAACCUGUAGGCAGGAGCUGAUGCAGAGCUCCAUGGAGGAGUGCUGGCUUGCUCCACAUGGCCUGUUAGACCUGCUUUCCUCUAGAACUCAAGACCACAAGCCUAAGGAUGGUGCCACCCACACAAUGGGUGGGGUCCUCCCAUAUCAAUCCCUAAUUAAGAAAAUUAUCUCACAGGCUUGCCUACAGCAUGAGUUAUGAAGGAAAUUUUCUUGGUCGAGGUACCUUCCUCUCUGAUGACUCUAGCUUGUGUUAAGUUUGACACAAAACCAGCCAGCAUAGAAGGACACUUGCUGGACUGGUCAAGAGAUACAGGGCCUGCAAUCCCAGCCAGUUGGGAAACUGAGGCAGGAGGAUCACAACUUUAGGGUCAGCCUGGGCUACAUAAAUAGGACCCUGCCUCAAAAUAAAGAAGGGAAGCCAGGCACGGUAGCACCCAUCUUUAAUCCCAGAACUCAAGAGGCAGGUGGAGCUCUGUGAGUUCCAGGCCAACCAGGGUGUGAGACCCUGUCCCAAAUUAAAGGAGUUAGCAAGGCAAGGUGAGGCUUGCUCUUAACGAGGACAGGAACUCAACCAGGGCAGCAUACAGGAGGCAGCGGCAAGUCCAUCUCUGAUUUCCAGGUCAUCCAAGGUUACAUGUUGAGUCCCUGUCUAAAAUAAAAUAACCAGCUAAUUAAACUAAAAACAGUAAGUGAAAGAGAGCUGAAGAUGCAGCCCAAUGGUGGAUUACUUGUGUGAGGCCCUGGAUUCAAUCCUCAGUACCGAGAGAGGAAAGAGGGUUUAGAGAGAGGUUGAUUCAAGGAUGGUGAUGAUAGUUGGAGAAUGUUUGAUUGGUUGAUGAAGACUUGUGUGCAAGAGGGCCUGGCUGUGUACCUCAUGAUCUUCCAGAAGGCUAGGGUCCUGGGGAGCGUGCAUAGUCUUCAGAAAGCCAGGCAAGCCAUAUUGGGAUCAAACAAAUGAGAUUUAUCCUAAGUACUGCCAUUUUGUUUUCAGACUCCAUUUUGAUCAGAAGGUGAAAUUAAGUUCAAGUUCCCAGGCUCUAGGGGAGCUUUCCAGAUGGCUAACCAACUUCCUCCUCCUUUUGUUCUUCAAAACACAAUUGUUCCUAACCAUGAAAGAACAAAUGAUUGGUGACACUGUGUAACUAUCUCGGCACAGGUGUUUGUGGAUUCUGUGACUUUUCUGCUUAAAUACCGAGAUGAACGUUCACAGACACAAGCAGCUCCUGGGGCCUGUGCUGCUGUCCCUGGCUGCUCAGUUCUUGCUGCCUGCUUCAAACAAUGAACUUGCUUUGCGUGGUCUCUUGUGCCUGCUUGGGUUGGUUUGGAUUUUCAGACCCUAACAGCCAGAAGUUAAUAUUAUUUAAAAAAAAAAAAAAAAAAAGGCUUUAGCAUAAGUGCAUAGUCUAGGCCAGUGUGGACUUGGGGACCAUUGAUGCUGUGUCUAAGGCAUUCCAGGGGAGAGACAUGGCCUAUAGAAGACUUAUUACCCUCAGUGGACAAGAAGGCUUUGUGUGACAGAACCCCAGCCUCAAGGCUGGAGGGCUGGAACAUUGUGGAGACAGAGUGUUAGGGAAUUUGUCCCGGGACUGCACUGGACACAGAGCUGGGUUGACCUCCCAGGCCCUCCGCAUUGGCUUGGUGAUUCACUCCACAAACAGCUAUUGAAUUCUACCAGGAUCUGCUUGUCCUCAAGUCUGGAAGACAGAUACAAAAACAGGCAAUUAAUUACCCGGCCAAGUGGAAAGGCCAUUGUAGAUAGUAUGGGAGGUACCGUGGAUGCCCAGAGCAUCAGCCUAGCCCAUGCUCUGAAGGGCUUAGCAGAGACAGGUAACCUUGCAAGGCCUGAAGAGCCUGCCACUGUGCACAGCCAAAGAGAGCCAGAAUUACGUGUCAAUUGGAGACAAAGUUCUAGGCCACGAAGAUAGCACGUGAGAAUCUACCAUGAAAAGUUCUCAUUAGAUAACUUGAAAUGGUCUGGGUGGUACCCAGGAGAAAAUUCAACAUGAAAGAUUUUAUCAAACCCCAGGGAAAGUCCCAGCGAUUGCCAAUGGUAGGGAAUGUCACGUGGACAAUCUUUUCCCUCCAGGUGUAUGUGCGUGGUGUACGUCCAUGUGGAAGUAGAGGUUGAUUUAGAGUAUUUCCAACCCUGUAUGUAAAAAGCAGUUUACAUUAGAACCCAGAGCUUGCUGCUUCACCUAUCUAGCUAGCUUGCUCUGGGGAACCCCUGUCUCCACUUCCCGAGGAUUACACGGAGGCCAUCACACCUGUCUGCCAUUUACAUGGGUCCUGGGGAUUUGAACCCUGGUCCUCUGGUUUGCACAGUAAAUACUUUACCCACUGGGUUAUCUCCCCAGCCCCACCAGUGAGCUUUGUGCCCCUGUCCCACACCUACUGCUGUACCCAGUGAAAAGAGGGAACGUUCCAUAAUUUUUGUAAAUUUCAUUUAAAUGUCUUUGAGCCACUAGGUGGUGGUGGCACAGCCACUAAUCCCACCACUCAGCAGGCAGAGGCAGGUGGAUCUCUGAGUUCUCUGAGUCCAGCCUGGUCUACAAUAGAAACCUGUCUCAAAAAAAAGUAAAAUAAAUAUUUUGAGUUAAGCGUGGUGGUGGUGGUGGUGGUGGUGGUGGUGGUGGUGGUGGUCGUGUGUGUGUGUAUCUGGUAUUGCUGGUGGUGGUACUGUCUCAUUAUAUAGCCCUGGUUAUCUUGGAACUCAAUGUGUAGGCCAAAGUGGCCUUCAAAUCACAGAGAUCUGCCUGCUUCUCCCUCUGCCUACUGAGUGCCGAGAUCAAAAGUAUAUACCACCAGACCUGGGUGUUUCUUUUUUCUUUGCUUGUAGGUUGUUUUUGUUAAGACAGGAUGACAUGAAGUCCAAGCUGGCCUCACACUCCUGGGCUGUCCAGUCAUAUCUGCCCCAGGCCUAUCAGAGCCAUUCCAAAGCAGUAGCUGCUGUUGGGGAGGAGUACCCCACCAGGACACCUCCCACAUGUCCAACUAACAGCACUGGGAUAGAUGAGGGGGUCAAAAGAGCAGGAUGGGGAGUACAGGAAAGUAGUGUCAGACGAAGCUAUAGUUCCACACAGCCCUGUGGCACCUGAGGAGACCUUGAAGCCUUGGGAACAGUGGGUUGGUGCUCCGGAGGGAGGGCUCCCAGGAGACCACCUGGGUGGGUAUUGAGAUCCCCACAAAGAGCAGACAGAUCCCCAGGGGAGAAAAUGAGGCAAAAAGGACAAUGAGGAAUAGGGAAGAGGCAGAGGAGAGAGAUGAGGCAGAUGAGUCACAGAGGUGGAGGGCAGAAACAUCAGGAAGAGACACUGACCUCUGGGUCAUGCACACCACAUCAAAGGAGGAGGAGGUGUGGGCGGGGCCAUGGUCAGGGUGUUUGUAAACUCUCACCAAGCUCAGACUCUGGGAAAGCACCACACACACCCCUGCCCACUGCAGCCGGCGGGUUGGGACACAAACACCACAUUUAACAGAUGAAGAUCCGGGAGAGGGGGGUUCAGCAUCCACUGGUAGGUGCUGAGGAAGCUGGACAAGGAUAGUUGAGGUGCCAAGGGCGACAUCUUGUGCUCAUUUCUUUCAGGAAACUAUCCUUUCUCUUCCUUAGCUGGCAUAGACUGAACUCUGACUGUCCUAAGCUUCUAAACUGCUCUGAGAUUCCACCCAAGUCCCCCAUAUCAGCUUGGGAUGUCCAACAGACCUAAUGUAAGCCAACGAGAUCCAGGCCCAAGAGUUUGUUUGGUUUGGUUUGGUUUUCAGUUUUGGUUUUUUGAGACAGGUUCUCUGUGUAGCACUGGCUGUCCUAGAACUUAGACUCCGUAGAAUGCUCAGAUUAAAGGUGUGCAUCACCACUCCUGGUUCAGAAAAACAAUAUUGUUUUUGGUUUUUCGAGACAGGGUUUCUCUGUGUAGUCUUGGCUGGCCUGGACUUGCUUUGUAGCCGAGUCUGGCCUCCAACUCACAAGAGAUCCGCCUGCCUCUGCCUCCCUGAGGGCUAGGAUCACAGGCGUGUGCCACCACACCCAGCCAUUUUUUAGAUCUUAUAAGUGUUGUAGACAUAAACAUGUUUUUGUUUUGAUCCAAGGUCCACAGCAGCAAACUAUUUGCCUGGUGCGGGCUCUGAGAGGGGCUCUUUGCCGGGUGUAGAUAGUUUAAAUCCGAGGACUCUGGAGAGACAAUAAAUGCCAGAGCCCAGGGAGAAGAAGACUCUGAGAAAGAAGGCUGCUGCUGCCUCCCUCCUGCUGCUCCUGGUUGCUGCGGAUGCAGUUUGGCAAGAAGUUGGAGAUAGUCUUAAGAUGGGGCUUGCCCUAAGGAACCCGACGACUCUAACCAGCAGGAAGUAGCCAGAGAACUAUGCUCCACCUCCCCACUAACCUCCUUUCCCUCUUACCCAGUCUUCGGGUGUUAGAAGGGAUUGGGGUGGAGAAGGGAGGAAGAGGCAACAAGAAACCAAUAACAUGUAAAAACUAGCGCCAACAUAUAUGAGUGUUUUGACCGCGUUUAAGUAAGGACACUGCACAUCGGUACCAGUGCCCACAGAAGCCAGAGAGAGCUCUGGGUCCCCCGAAACUGGAAUUACACGUGGUUAUGGUAACCUGUGGGUGCUGGGUGUCCCAGAUCCUCUGGAAGAUCAGCCAGUGCUCUGAAGCCCUGAGCAACCUCUCCAGCCGCCUGACUUUGUUUGUUUAGAGAAGGAUCUAGUAAGGUAGUCUUGCCUAGCCUAAAACUCAGGAUAUAGGGUAGGUCAGGAUCGCCUCGAACAAGAGCAAGAGUUUUUCUACAUCUAUCUCUCAAAUGCUGAGAUUGUCGGAGAACAGCACCAUACCCAGCUCCAACACAAGACCCCGUGUACAUGUGCGUAUGUGCACACAAGUAAAUGUGUAUCCAUUCACAUGUGCAUGUGUAGGUCGAUGUCCAGUAAGACCUUCGGUCACCCUCCACCUCAUUUUUUGAGAUAGGGUGUCUCACUGAAACUGGGGCUCACCAAUUACCUAGGCUGCCCACUAGCAAGCCCCAGGGAACUUCCUGUCUCUCCAUGCCUCCCCAGUGCUGGGGAUUAUAGGUAUGUGCUACUGGGCCCAGUCUUGUUUGGUUGAUUGUUGUUUUGUUUAUGUGGGUGCUGGGGAUUCGAACUCAGGUCCUCAUCCCCAUAUUCGAAGCACUUCACCAACUAAGCUGUCUCCCAAGUCUCCAGAGGAGAGGAGCCUGCCUCUUCUGCACCAAGUCUGAAGAGAACGUGAGGUCUGGAGCUGUUGCCACCAUCCCAGAAACCCGAGGACACAGAAGCAAGUGGAGGACCAUGAGCUACAGAGCCCUCACUGUGGCAAUGGCCUGCACUUGAAGCUGCAGGGACAGACCUCUCCUGGAUCCUGACUGUCAGCAGGCCAGCAAGUCCCUUCUCUGCCUUUGUGGUUUGGUUUGGCUUUUCUGUCAUUUAUUAAAACCAAAGUGUAUCAGUUCCUCACAA